rnacentral:rRNA from 1 species
GUAGGGAAUAUUGGACAAUGGGCGCAAGCCUGAUCCAGCAAUGCCGCGUGCAGGAAGAAUGCCUUCGGGUUGUAAACUGCUUUUGUACGGAACGAAACGGUCCUGGUUAAUACCUGGGGCUAAUGACGGUACCGUAAGAAUAAGCACCGGCUAACUACGUGCCAGCAGCCGCGGUAAUACGUAGGGUGCGAGCGUUAAUCGGAAUUACUGGGCGUAAAGCGUGCGCAGGCGGUGCUGUAAGACAGGCGUGAAAUCCCCGGGCUCAACCUGGGAAUUGCGCUUGUGACUGCAGUGCUGGAGUACGGCAGAGGGGGAUGGAAUUCCGCGUGUAGCAGUGAAAUGCGUAGAUAUGCGGAGGAACACCGAUGGCGAAGGCAGUCCCCUGGGCCUGUACUGACGCUCAUGCACGAAAGCGUGGGGAGCAAACAGGAUUAGAAACCCCUGUAGUCC